rnacentral:rRNA from 1 species
AUAGCAUAUCAAUAAGCGGAGGAAAAGAAACCAACAGGGAUUGCCCUAGUAACGGCGAGUGAAGCGGCAACAGCUCAAAUUUGAAAUCUGGCUCUUUUAGAGUCCGAGUUGUAAUUUGCAGAGGGCGCUUUGGCUUUGGCAGCGGUCCAAGUUCCUUGGAACAGGACGUCACAGAGGGUGAGAAUCCCGUACGUGGUCGCUGGCUAUUGCCGUGUAAAGCCCCUUCGACGAGUCGAGUUGUUUGGGAAUGCAGCUCUAAAUGGGAGGUACAUUUCUUCUAAAGCUAAAUAUUGGCCAGAGACCGAUAGCGCACAAGUAGAGUGAUCGAAAGAUGAAAAGCACUUUGGAAAGAGAGUCAAACAGCACGUGAAAUUGUUGAAAGGGAAGCGCUUGCAGCCAGACUUGCUUACAGUUGCUCAUCCGGGUUUCUACCCGGUGCACUCUUCUGUAGGCAGGCCAGCAUCAGUUUGGGCGGUAGGAUAAAGGUCUCUGUCACGUACCUCCUUUCGGGGAGGCCUUAUAGGGGAGACGACAUACUACCAGCCUGGACUGAGGUCCGCGCAUCUGCUAGGAUGCUGGCGUAAUGGCUGUAAGCGGCCCGUCUUGAAACACGGACCAAGGAGUCUAACAUCUAUGCGAGUGUUUGGGUGUCAAGCCCGAGCGCGUAAUGAAAGUGAACGGAGGUGGGAACCCGCAAGGGUGCACCAUCGACCGAUCCUGAUGUCUUCGGAAGGAUUUGAGUAAGAGCAUGGCUGUUGGGACCCGAAAGAUGGUGAACUAUGCUUGAAUAGGGUGAAGCCAGAGGAAACUCUGGUGGAGGCUCGCAGCGGUUCUGACGUGCAAAUCGAUCGUCAAAUUUGGGCAUAGGGGCGAAAGACUAAUCGAACUAUCUAGUAGCUGGUUCCUGCCGAUU